rnacentral:rRNA from 1 species
AUUGAACGCUGGCGGCAUGCUUUACACAUGCAAGUCGAACGGCAGCGGGGGCUUCGGCCUGCCGGCGAGUGGCGAACGGGUGAGUAAUGCAUCGGAACGUGCCCAUGUCGUGGGGGAUAACGUAGCGAAAGCUACGCUAAUACCGCAUACGCCCUGAGGGGGAAAGCGGGGGAUUCUUCGGAACCUCGCGCGAUUGGAGCGGCCGAUGUCGGAUUAGCUAGUAGGUGGGGUAAAGGCCCACCUAGGCGACGAUCCGUAGCGGGUCUGAGAGGAUGAUCCGCCACACUGGGACUGAGACACGGCCCAGACUCCUACGGGAGGCAGCAGUGGGGAAUUUUGGACAAUGGGCGCAAGCCUGAUCCAGCCAUGCCGCGUGAGUGAAGAAGGCCCUCGGGUUGUAAAGCUCUUUUGUCCGGAAAGAAAAGCACUGGGUUAAUACCCCGGUGUCCUGACGGUACCGGAAGAAUAAGCACCGGCUAACUUCGUGCCAGCAGCCGCGGUAAUGUCGUCA